GGGUUCAGGGGCGCGUGUGUUGUGAAUCAGUGUGGAGGAGGUGGGGAAGGGCCCCAAGGGAGAGAGAGGGUGAAUGACCAGGGCACAUGUGCCAGUGUGCUGUUAGCAUCAGGCCCAGCACAGGGCAGCGUUAUUCUCUGUUAAGCACAGGUUAAAUGCCUGCUGCAUGCACGGUCUGUGCAGGGUGCCCACUGGCAGAAACCACCGGGCUCCAGGUUCCUCCCGGGGGACAUUAACCCAGCAGGGUCUCAGUCACCUAGGGGCUGUGCCCACCCCAGCAACCUGUUUGUGGUCUGCAGGCCUCUGGGUGAACAGGGCUGGCCCAGAGGCCCGUGGUCCUGACGGAUCAUGUGGCCCUGAAUGCCUGGCCUCCCAGUCACCCCCCUGCCUGGCUGGCACUCUUAGGCUGCUCAGCUCAAGUCUCCCUGGCCUGCACCCUGCCCUGCUGCACUGGCUUGGCUGCUCUCUCCACCCACACCUCAUGCCCACGGCCUGCCACAGGCCCCCUGCCAGCUCCGUCUGUGCACCUCACGUGGCUGUGCUUGGGCUGCCCUCUCCCCACUUGUCACCAUGCUGGCAUUCAGCUGCUGUGUGCACAGGAAAGCCCCGUGUGCACAGAACCAUCCCCUCACCAGCUGAUAACUUGCCCUUAACAGACCCCCAGCCCCGUGUUCCCCUAGGUGCCCAGCUUCCCCCUCAGGUCCCGGGGACCUCUCUCUCAAUGAUCCAGCAACUGAAGGGUUGGCACUGGACCUGGGGGGCCUCAGAACCUGCCCAAGGCUGUGGGGUGUCCUGAGUGCCCAGUGGACAGACUCAGUUUCUGGUGCCAGGAGUCUUUGUGUGGCUGUGACUGAGGAACUCUUUGCCCUUCUCACCAUGUCCUGCUCUCACCCUCGGGACCUGAGUGGCACUAGAUGUUUGCCAGCUGAGUGACCACUGGACGCUCAGGGUCAGGAACGGGCAGGGAGCCGUGGGCAGGGCUGUGCGGCCAGCGAGGGUGGGCGGCCCAGGGCAGGGGCUGUCGGACCCCAUGGGUGGUGCCUGUGGAGGGCGUCUCCCUCCCCACCUGCUCGGGUCCUCCCGCAGCGCCCCGCAGAGCGCGACACCCAGGGGCUCCCACAGGCUCCUGCUGCCCCGAGGGCCCAUCAGGGUGAUGAUGCGUUUUGUGCCAGCGCUCACGGGCAAGGAGAAGCCCUCGAAGUAGCCGAACAGAGCCUUCGUCUGCUGCGGGCAGGUCCACACAGCAGAGGAUGAGCCUGGAGAUGCCGAGGGGUGGGGUGCAGAUGGGGAGCAUGAAGACCAUGGUCAGCAGGACCGGGACCACGUGGGCUGCCGCCGCCACGGGCUGGAGCCUCGUCAGACCUGGGUCGGGACUGCGCUGGAUAGGCCGUGGCUCGCGGCUCACAUGCAGCAGAGGCAAGGGCGGACGCUGCAGUCUCCACGCAGUGGGCGACCGAGGGAGCCCGAGCACCCGCUGUGGGCCUCUGUGUGGGCUCUGCCUGCAGCAGGCCCCUCCGCUCCUGGAGUCUGUGCCUCCUUCUUUAACCACACACGACGAAGGUAGUAUUCUCUGCUCCUGGCGGCCCCCCCCCCGAGGAUCCUUCUAGACUGGCGCUGGGGUUUCUAAUCACUGCUCUCCUGGCCCUGGGCUGGGAGGUGGAGGGUCGUCCCUGCCCGUGUCCCCACCGUUCUCCCCGACUUGCACUCUCCUGCCAUCUGCUCAUACUGCCUGCCACUCCUUGGGGCGGUCGCUGGCUACGCCAGGCCGCUUGCCUUCGCGCCUGAUUCAGGUCGGUGCCCCCAGCUCUGGGGCAGGCCGGGGCCUGUUUCCAUCGCUGGCUGCAAGGGUGGCCGAGCACAGGCCCGUGCUCCCAGGGCAGCUGCCCCAGCCCAGGCGCCUGGGCUCGGCUCUCUGCCCUGCAGGAGGCUUGUCCCUUGGAGCGCUGCGGUGCUCAGCUCUGGACCCCUCAGGGUCAACAUGGAUGGGCAGGGUAGCCAUGCAUGACUGGCCCCUGUGCUGGUCACCCAGGGGUUGGGGUGGGCACUGGUCCUCCUCAGCUGGCAUUUCCUCGUGGACUCAGGAACGUGCCCUCCCCGGAUGGUUUCACCUGAUACUUGGAUUGGCCAGUGGGAAUCUCAGGCGUUCCUAAUGGUCUCUUGUGUUUGGCAUAAACUUUAUGUGCUGAGUUUGGGGGACUUUAGUUUUUCUUUUUUUUGUCCAAAAGGGCCCCUGUCUAGUGAAUCAAAAGCCUUAGUUUUAAAAAAUGUCAGCUUUCCUGAAGAGCCGACUUUGAAACUCAUGAAGCCUUGCCAUCUCGGUGCUCUGUGCCCCUCCCUUGGGUACAGGGUGCAGGCUGGGGUGCCGGAGGGCUUGGGAGGUACGGGGUAUGGGGAGAGAGAUUGCCCGCCAUGGGCUGGCAUGGCGGCCUAGCGCCAUCUUCCUGGUCUGGGGGAGCCCUGAGGAGGUGCCCUGGUGUUGGGCCGGAGCCCCCCUGCUGGUCCUGGCUGCCAGUCACCCCCGGGGAGGGUCUCUGUGCAGAGCUGUGGAACAGGGAUGAGCAGAGAACCUGGAAGGUGGGAAUACCCUGGGGGACCCCAUAGCGUGGGGGCCCCAGUGCCCUCACAAACCACUGUUUCACCUGACACCAAACAGCGCUGCUACUGGUUGGUGAGGGAGUGCACCCCGCUCUGCUCCUGGCCUGGUGCCCCCACAGGCAUGACGACCCGUCCUCCUGUCUCCUCACUCGUGACAUGGGGCAAGGAGAGUCCUGUCUGGGGGUGAGGGGAGGAUUCUGUUUGUCCACUCAGCUGGAGAACUGCCCAUGGCAUCCGGUGUCCCUCAUUCCCCUGAACUGUUGGGCAGUCCGGCCACGAAGAUGCAGGCCCUGCUCACAUUUGACAGGUCAGUAAAUGGAAGAUUACAUCGAGGUCAAGGAGCUGGCACACACGCAGGGCGUCGGGCAGCAGUGCUGAGGUUUGAAUGGGGCCUCAGCUCAGCCUGGGGCUGGGGUCUCCCCGCCCUGGCCUGCACCCCCACUGCCCAGCUGUAGCCCCCCGGGGUUGUGGGCUCUGGGUCCCCGUCCUGUCACUGGAUGUCGAGCACCCUGUCUCCUACCCUCCCUCGGGAGUCUUUGUUGGGUAACCCUGACAGCCCCUGGAGGUGGCGGGGUGGAGCGGCUGCGGCUGAAGCUGCAGAGCUGUGGGCACGAGGCGUGAGAUGUCCCUGUGUUCCAGGGCAUUCUGAGAGGUGGCCGAGUUCUUCCGUGGUACUCCCGUUGUCUGCUCUGGACAAUCAGAGCAGGAAGUGGAGGUGGUUGGCAGGUGGGGGGUGGGGUCCUCAUCCUCUCCCAGGAGGGAACCUGCCCCUCUAGGCAAACACCUGGGAAGCUGAAUGUAGGGGUGCUGCACCUUGCCCCCCAGUGGGGCACCAGUGAGGGUGGGCGCUUGUGGCACCCCCUGCCCCGGUGAGGUGCCAGGGAGCCGGGGACAGGGUGUGCAGCCAGGGAGGGUUAGGCCAGGCAGUGUGUAGAGGCUGGAGGGCAGCCUCAGGCCACAGCAGGGCAUGGCCAGGGUGGGCCAGGAGGUAUUCAUAGUGGGCAAAAAGGGAGACGACUCUGCAGCCUGUGUCCAGCCAGAUGAUGGAUGAACAAAAAGUGUUUAUCCGUGAAAUGGGAUGUUGUUUGGCCCUAAGGAGGAAUGAAGCCCACACUUUGCAACGUGGUUGGACCUUGAAGACCCCCUGCAGAGCGAAGGACCCCAGACAUGGAAGGCCACGCACUCACUGCACUGAUGCUUUGAAUGGCUGAGUUGUUCGGUGUGUGAAUCACACCUCACUAAAGCUGGUACCGAAGAAGAGGGUGCAAGGAAGGCCGGCAGGCAUGAGCUGCCUUGAAGGUGGCCGAGCAGAAGGCGGCAGGCCAGGGGAGGCCCCCGUGAUCAGAGGAGAGGCCAUGCCAGGGUCAGCUCACGCCGGGGACCCCACAGGUCAGGGAGCAGACAGAAGUGUCAUGUGGCGGGCCUUGAAAUCUCAGAAGCCUGCUCUAACGGCAGGGAGCAGGGCUUGGCCUGGGGGUAAGGAGGCCGCGGCCCUGUGCCGGGCCCCUGCAUCCGGGCUCCUGUUUGGGGCAGAGGCUGUGUUGGGUGUCCGUCCCUGAGUGGGAGUCAGCUGGGGCUGACCAAGUUUGUGAAAUGACCGUGGACUAGGAAGAGGCUUACACGUUUUGAGAAAUCAAAUAGAGGGUUAAAAAUAUAAGCAAAGAGCAAGGAUUCAGGAUCCAAAUGGAACUAGAAAUUAAAAAUAGAGUUGAAAUUUAUAAUAAUCUCUAGUAGGUGGGCUCAAUAGCAGAUUAGACACUGUGGAAGGGGAGAUUAGUCACAUGAAAUAUGGAGCGAAAGGAGACUGGGGGUGGAUCCCAGGGGGAGAGGGACCAUCUAAAGGCCACGCCCGGGGAGCCGAGGGCGGCAGGAGGGCAGCGGAGGUGGGCCUGUGUCGAGCUGCAGUCCCAGGCCCCGGCGCACGGCUGUCCCGUCAGCCUCCACUUAUGAAACGGAGUCGAAGAUCAAGUUUUCAGGUUCACUGCAGCCCCCACACAGGCCCUGCCGAGGGCAGGCCCAAUGCCACACCAGUCGCAUGCCCACAGCACAAGCGCCUCUCCACUGACAAGUGCCCCUGCUCCCCAGCCAGUGUCAGCACGACGACUGCCGGACCCCAGCCCCGUGGGAGGCAGCAGCACCUGUGGG